rnacentral:rRNA from 1 species
GAGUUUGAUCGUGGCUCAGAUUGAACGCUGGCGGCAUGCUUUACACAUGCAAGUCGAACGGUAACGCGGGGGCAACCCUGGCGACGAGUGGCGAACGGGUGAGUAAUACAUCGGAACGUGUCCUGGAGUGGGGGAUAGCUCGGCGAAAGCCGGAUUAAUACCGCAUACGCUCUGAGGAGGAAAGCGGGGGACCUUCGGGCCUCGCGCUGCGGGAGCGGCCGAUGUCGGAUUAGCUAGUUGGUGGGGUAAAGGCCUACCAAGGCGACGAUCCGUAGCUGGUCUGAGAGGAUGGAUCAGCCACACUGGGACUGAGACACGGCCCAGACUCCUACGGGAGGCAGCAGUGGGGAAUUUUGGACAAUGGGGGCAACCCUGAUCCAGCCGAUGCCGCGUGAGUGAAGAAGGCC